CUGAGGAGCGGAGUAAAAAAUGAAUCAAAGCUUUUUUGCUUCCUCUUCUCUCUCUUCCUCCUCGGUUUUGUCACUCGAUUUGAUCACACGGAUCAUAAGAUGCUUUCAAAAUCUCUUUCACUUUGAUGGGACCCGCUAACGUGGUGGUGAUGGGAGCGGAGAGCAGGUCCGGCCCAGCGCGCCGGCCGUGCGUGCUGCGUGCGGGGUGCGUGUUUCUGGGCAUGGCAGGACCCGGAGCUGGGGUCACCGGCAGUCGCUGGGGCUCCAGGAGCUGCGGGGUCGCAGCAGUGCCAGGCUCGAGGGAUUAGGAGCAAAGUGAAACCACAGGAGCCCUGCGCGGCCGUGGCGGCAGCGGAGCUAGACCGGUGCUGAGCACUCCUGAGAGUCGUGACCUCCUCCUGCCCGCGGGUUUAAUUUGCUGGCGUGGGUCUAGCAGACUGCAUUGAUGACCCAAUUUUAUUAUGCUGAUAGAAAUGAGCAAACAUGUUUAGGGUAACAGUAUUGUAAUGCUUUAAAUUGCAUCCACUGAGUGUGUCUAGCUGUGCGUUUAAUUCAGAUUUAAUAGAGCAGUUCAUUUUAAAAAUAUGAAACAAGUUCUAGGUAAUUUUUUUUGAGAGCUAACAACGCAAACAUAGAUCCUGUUGCUCUAGUUUGAUGCUAGUGUUAUUUAUUAUUGACUUUUUUCUUUUGUAAAAUUGCAUAGAUUUGUCUCCCUGUAUUCGCUGCGUCGGACCGCUCUCCCAGGGCGGGCUGUGCCCGCGGCAGAUGGGGCUGUGAGCGGCACGGCCUGCCGUUGCCCGCGGCCCCGCUGCCUCUGCGUCGCACGGUCUCGCCCUGUGCAGAUGUGCGGCAAAACUCCCAGGAACGUGGCCCCCACCGAGAAACCCCCUGGUGCUGGAACCAGGACCCCACGCUCAGGUCAUCGCUCGGACGUCUGCAAACCUGCCGCUGGGUCAAACCAGCCCCAAGGAGACGUUUCUUCUGUUGCUGAAGAAGCUGCUGGUUAAGGCUCUGUGGCGAUACCCUGCGGAGAGGCUGAAACGGAGAGACCUGUCUGCGUGGCCAGGGUCAGCCUCGGGGCGACUGUGCAGCCCUCUCCCAGCUGCACCCGAAACGCAGGCCAGGAGGUCUCAGUAAGGUGACACGCAGAAGCAGAAAGUGACUGCUCGAGGUCAGGGCGUGGAUGUUCAUCUGCGGUUCGUGGCCCGCAGAGGUGUGCCAGCCCCUGGGCGAGGCGUCCUGCUCCCGGCAAGCGCCCUCGUCCCCUCUCCUCCCUCCUCGCCCCGCCGCGUUGCGGGGUCUGUCUUGGCCUUCGCCACCGGCACGGGUUUCACCUUUGCUGAAUAUCACUUUGUUACUGCAAGAACAUUGACCUUAGGUGAGCAUGUUGCUGUUAAAUCUGAGUGGUUUAGAUACUCAGCUGAAAUUGUGGGUACUUCUACGAUUUUAAAUUAAACUAUUGUUCAAGAUACUUAAUUUAAAAUGCGACCAUGUUAUUUAUGCAGCAGCAUUUGCAGGCGAAGUGACCUCUGCAGAGAGCUGAUGGCAACUGUUACACAGUAUCUUUCAUUGUAUCCUGUUUUUACUGAUAAUCAUUUUUCAUGCUGCCUUGAUUGAAUGUCCCCUUUGUGAGAUUUGAGGCCGUGAGCUAUAAGGUGGUAAAAAAUGAUUUACAUGGACAAACGCUCUCACGCGUUCCUUCUGCAGAAGAGGAAAAAAUGUUGCAAAAUUUCCAUUUGAAUUAAUAUGUGAAAGAGAGGGAAGUUAAAAGCAGCUCAUUGGCACAGCCUAACAUCUUUAAACCUUAAAGGGGCUCCCGGCUACCUGAUCGCAGCUGUGAAGUUCAAACGUGCUCUGCUUUUUCUGAUUCCACCUACCUUUUGAGGACCGCUUUCUCCCUCAGACAAUCUCACCUUGACCAAAAGCAGGGAGAUUUAUAUUACCCUGAGUUUGGAAGGGUUCAGCAGUGCAUUUCCAACAGGAAUUGUGCAAGUCAGCCUGAAUUACGCCUUCCGGGCGUAGGAAAGGAGACCCGCGUCGCAAGCGGCAGGCACGGCUGGAGGCGCGCGCUGGGGAGCUCGGCGCGUCGCUAAUACGUCCUGCGCAUCGGCGGGGCGGACGCGUGGCGGGGCAUGGGGCAGGGGAGGUGCCGCAACUUGUCCCAGUGUCUCUUGAAGCUGAGAAGAAGCCUCCUUCAGCUCCGUUUUAAAUUAUACGAGUGCUUUGACGUUUCCCGUGUUGCGCCGUGGUCGUUUUGCUGUCACAGCAGCAUUUCGGGGUUCCUGCCUUUCCGCGGUCGUCUCUGUGGACAGACUGGCCGUGUCUCCUUGGCCGUCUCUCAACAGCUUCACUGUAUGAGCUGGGAAGCCUCUGAAACGCUGAAACACUCCUGUAACCGGUGGCCCGGGCAGCUGCCUGCUCUCCAGCACCUGUCCCGAAUCGGAGCACCGGGGCAGCAUCAGGCAGCCCUGCCGCUGCGCUGCCUCCGAAGCUGCUCCCGCUAGCCCAGCGGCUCGUCGCGUGGGGGAGGAAAGAGAGGAAGGAGCGAGAAAGGGGUGAGAUUACUUCAGGUCGCCGCGGCUGGGGCUCUGGGCCUCCGGUUUUCCAGGGCGGCCCGUUGGGCUUUGCUGCAGUUCAUCCGCCUUCCCAAACCCAGGAAAAAGAGAGAGUGCUUGAGGACUGCGGGCCUGGCCACAGGACAUCGCGAGUGCUGCGUCCAGACCGAUUCAUGGAAGAAAUGAUCUAGCAAGCCCCACUAAGUGCAAAGACACCAUCUCUGGCUUAGGACAAACGUAAGCUGCAGUUUGAUGGAGAAAGUAAUUUUCUGGGAAAGUAUCACAAUGUGUUUGCUCGGUUUUACUCUUCUCUGGGUGUCUGCUCUGGCCUCCGAGGGAUACCGGAGAGCAGGCUAGGUACGUCUUCGCUCUGACCCAAGGUGUCUGCUCUUUUGUAAAGAGCAACUUUCUUCUGAAGUGAAUUUGUAUCUUUGCCAGUAUAGAAACUGUGAAAACAUGUCACUAAGAACUUAUAGUUGCUCUUCCAGGAAAGCAAAAGCAAAAUUGUUCUUCGAAGCCAAGAAUACUGCUGCUCUGCAGAAAGGCCACAGAGAAAUUCUUAGCUAAUUUCCUGUGAUCCCAAGAUGCAGCUCGGCUUUUAGGCUGAGGAAGAAAAUAUUCAUUGCAAAUUUCUAUUUCCACAGGGUAAAAUGUGAGAGAACUUGGAAUAUAUGGGCUUGUAAUUUCUUCAGGGUUAUUUCUCCUUCCCUUUUUUCCCAUGAGAUCAAAGUGAAACCUUUUAUUAAAUAAGAUAAAAAUAAGUGACAGGUGCAGAAUUUCAGCUAAUUGGUUUUAUCUCCUGUACUGCAAGAUGAUGAUCUUAGUAGUUAUGCAUUUGCACCAAGUAUUGUUAUUGCUUUGAGGGAAUGAUUUUUGUGCUUGUCAUAAAAACUCUCGGAGAGUACAAAAUAGAGAAGGAGAAGAGUUAUUAGGUCUUCUAGCAUAGUCCUCCACAGUACAAGAUUGCUCCCUACGGUAUUCUCCAAUACUUUGUCCAAGAUACUCUUAAAUUACCUACAUUAUGGAGAUGAAUUAUGUCUAGACAUCUGAAUUUCAGCUAGAGAAAGAAAUGAGCUGAAUGUUUGGGAACCAAAACGUUAAUAUUUUUUAAAUGGGAAGUCAAUUUCAAAAUAUAAAAACACCCAAACCAAAACAGCUAAUCCCACCCUUCGUGGUUUUGCGGUGACCGGAGAGUUAAAGCACCAAGAUGCUGCUGGUUUGGCUGUUCCCCUACAGCCGAGCCUGCAGGUCCUGGGACUCCCGUGAGAGAGCCAAGCUGCCCCGCGCGUGCUGGGAACUCUACAACAAAGAGAAUUUCAGCUGGGCGAAACUCAGCAUUAUACUUGGCUUAUUUGGUAAGGGUUAGCGCUGAUUUUUUGUGUGCCUAGCACUACAGAGUUUUGCCUUCAAUCAUUUGACAGAGACAAGCUCAUGUGUAGGACAGUUGCUAGCUCUCUCAUGAAGACUUAGGCAUUUUAUUGACACGCUGUCUUUCAAGUGCGGUCACAGAUAAGCAACUGUGCUGUUCUGUGGAGCUGUUUUGACUAGCUCAGUGGAUGCGGAGAUUGACGGAGAGAUGAUUUUGCAUUCUUUGUGAAACUCUGCUGUUCUUGCAUUUUGUUCGGUUUGGCGAUGACAGCGUGAGAUGGAGAAGUUGCAGAAUGAGCAACCAGUCACCAAGAUAAAUCAACGCCUGGAUCUGUUGAGGGUCUCACAGGCUGGGCUGAGCUAGUGCUGGAUUUAGCUGCAAGGUUUUGCUGGUGUAGCAGGACCCCAAAGGCAGAUGUGGUGGUGCUGGCAGAGCACCCCUCACCCUGCUCGGGACGGCAGCAUGGCCGCAGCAGCGUAAACGGUAACGCGAGCGGCUCUGCUGCUGUGGGAAACUUGUACAUGGAGAAGCUGCUUGCUUUUCCUUUGAGGUAGUUGUAGACAAUUAUGAAGUUACGAUUUCUGGGGUAAAAUAAGGCCGAAUGCAGAGCUACUCAGUUGUGCAUGGCUCCUAAGCAGAAGGUCUCUGGUUAGGAAUUAUUCUGAGGAGUGAAACUAUGGAGAAGAGCCAGCUUGGGCAAAGGAAAGGGGCGAUGUACAAAAAUUUCUGAAUGAACAUGUGGCCCUGGAAACUGUUCAGAAAGGUCAUUGGGGCUGGGGUGACGGAAAGAGGUGCCAUCAGCAAGGACGUUUAGUUCAGUUGUUUGAUUCCUCCCAGUCAGGAGAGCAGAAGUUUGUGCCUUAGUGUAGAAGAGCAGAAUUACACCCACUAGAGUUUCUUCUCCGAACUACAGUGACCUACAAGACGAGGAGCUUUGCCAGUUGGGCAGAAGGGGCACCUGGGCUGGGUACACAUUUUCUCUUUUCUUGAAAAGAAUUGCUUCAUGAAGCCAGUGGCAGUUUUGCAUAGGCAAGAAAGACCUGUAGUAUUUGGCCCGUAAUUGUUAAUACAGACUGGAACUAAGCUUUUCAUUCAGUUUAAAUAUGGAUGAUAGACUCCCCUUGCCUGGUAGUCUAGCUGAAUGCACAGGCCUUCCAAAAGUUGCCAAAGAUGAAACUGAAUUAUAAAGGUGGAUCUGAUGCAGAUCUUCGUUUCUUAGACGUGUGUUGUACAAUUCAGUGAAGGGCAUGGAGCUGGCGUCCUUUGAUCCACUGGCUUAAGACACGUGUCAUUCGGUUUAUAACUCACCUGCAGUCACUUACUAUUCUAAUGGAAGAAGUAAGCACAGUGUCCUUAUAUUCACGUCCCCCUCAGUCUUCACGUCUUCUUUCACGAAUUCCCACGGCCCGGGAGGCCAGAAGCAGGUGUUUAUUGACUCGAACCGUUAAUCAUCCGUAGCUCUCGAAUGACUUCUGCCGGGACGCUGCGUGACUUUCACACGCUUCGGGUCCACAGGUCGCUUUCGUGCCCCCGCUGCACAGCGGCCGCGCUCCUGGCGGCAUGUGCCCGCGCUGCGACGGGGAGAGCCUGGAAACGUGCGAGCUGAACGCAGCAGCAGGAAAAGGGGAGCAGGGGAAAAAAGCGACAAGACUGCAGAGAAGGUUGUUAAAUCUGACUGUUCAGUUAGUUUCUCGGUCCAUGAGUGAUUUCUAUCACCAUAAUAAAUUGCAUGCUAUUGCUAACUCUUUCAGACUGCUGUCUGGAAAAAUCAAUUAUUCACAGAAAUUCUUGCUGACAGUGGUGAAUGCCAGGUGACAGUUCUGCGGUGCGCGUUUAGCAGCUUAAAACAGCAAAGCAAGGAAGGAACCGGUUUGGUUUCCCUUAUUAGAAAAGAAGAGGAACCCGCAGAAGCCAAAACAGGCCAGCGAGGAGGAGCAGAUGCAGGCAAGACCUCUAGCACUCAAGCUGGCGUUGCUUAACAGCGUGGUUGGAAAGUCCCUCAACCUUGGAGGCACAAAGUGACAUAAGUGGUCUACGGAGUUAGUUUGUUGCUUCCCUGUUGCAAGCGUGCUAGGAAACACUCAGCAUGAGUUAUGAACCGGACAUCGGAGCUGGUUAACGAGGGUGAUACUCGUCCCCCAUCAGCUGUCGCUGGGUCAGAAUUAAGAGAACUAAGGAGUUGAAGCACAUGCCCUGAGACCUGGGCAAAUAAUGCCAACAUUUAAAGUGUUACAAGUUAGAUGGGAAAAGGAGAAAAUGGUUCUUCCCGGUUGCUCUGCAUUGCUCCUUGCUUGGAGUGUUUAGCUUUCUAAGGAAAACCAACAGACCUGCGUUAAAUGGUCUGUUUUAAAACAAGAAAGUAGUUUCAAAGAAAAAAAAGUUGAAAAGUUUCCAUAUUCUUUUUAAAUAAGUGUUUUGAGCGAACACAGUCCCGAUGUUUUGUGGGUUUUUUGGCCCAAACUGAGCACUUUGACCUCAAGUAGUAAGCACUUUUAGUCCACCUAAAAUUCACUGUGGGGCUGAAUUUUCUGAUUCCUGAAGCAGCUCUGGCCAGCUGUACAGCCUUCGCACUGGUCCCUCUGAGGACUUUUUGGUGGAGGUCCCAGUCGGCGCCUCUCCGUGUCUCCUCUCUGCGCGGAGGCUGUGAGCAGCCCGGCAGAAGCGACGUACGCGCGCGAGGCCGCGGGCAUGCCCGUCGGGGACGUCUGCUCGUGCCUGCAGCGUUGGUGACGCCGCGCGUGUUCAAGCCCGACUGCGCGCCGGAUGGACCAGUGGUUGCUUCAGGCAGGUCAUCUAGACCUGGGCGUCUCUGGGUGUACUGGGGCCAAACGCACAGCUGGGGUCGCCUGCAAUUCUCCUGCUCUUGGUGCGCUAGUGAGGGAGUGACACAGUUUUAAGGGCUGCUGUGAAUUGGGGUGGCCGGCUUGGCCGGCCGGGUCGGGCAGCGGGGGCACGUCACAGCGCCCGGGCCGUCUGACAUACACCUUCCCGCCCGUGGAAAUAAGCGUGAGGGCUUCUUUUGGCUUCUCCAGCAGGCAGCGUUUCAACGAAGCAGUGCCAUUCCACCCUGUAUAUCACAAAUUAUAUACUCUUGCAAACCACAAUAAAAGCAGGAGAAUGCCGGUGUUGCCAGGGCA